rnacentral:sRNA from 1 species
GCUGCUAAAAUUAAUAGCCCAAUCGCCCCCUCCUCGCUUCCCGGGGUUUGUGUGCCCUCACUGAGUUCCUUUCUACCAUUUCCUCCUAUCAUCUUGCGCGGGCGUUGCAGUUCUAGGUUAACCUGCUGUGUAUGGUCCGUCCGCCUGCGCGGGGCUGCACUCCACACUCUGCAUGGGCUUUUACUCUAUCCAUCCCUGGCUCUUUCAAACCUAUUGCGUUGCCGUAUAUGCACAGAGUUGCGGGCAAAAAUUAAAAAAAAUACUAGAGCAUGCAACUUGAACCUGCAUAUCUUUGCUCUAGCCACAUACAUUCACAUCCGUCUAAAAAAGCACUAGCCGAAGGGGAAAACCAUAAAAAGAAAAGAUAACUUACUCGGGGCCCAACCUAGGAUAUCCUAUGGUGAGCGGGUGGUAAGCACCGCUGUGCAAAAUAUCAUAGUUCUCGCGUUUUUUCAUCCCUAACCAUGCGAUUAAAAUCUAGAUAGUAGUUAUUUAAUUAUUUCAAUCGUGUCAUAUUAAUUAUAUGUGGAAUUAGAAUCUAGAUCAUAUUAAUUGUCUUCUAGAUUAUCAGAGUUGAUGGAUUGUGAAACUUCUCAAGUUAUCUAAUAUCUCAUCUAAAGCUAUCUUCUUGCCAGCAGAGGCGAUGAUAGAGGACAUU